GUAGGUGGCAAGCGUUGUCCGGAAUUAUUGGGCGUAAAGCGCGCGCAGGCGGUCCUUUAAGUCUGAUGUGAAAGCCCACGGCUCAACCGUGGAGGGUCAUUGGAAACUGGGGGACUUGAGUACAGAAGAGGAAAGCGGAAUUCCAAGUGUAGCGGUGAGAUGCGUAGAGAUUUGGAGGAACACCAGUGGCGAAGGCGGCUUUCUGGUCUGUAACUGACGCUGAGGCGCGAAAGCGUGGGGAGCAAACAGGGAUUAGAUACCCUGGUAGUCCACGCCGUAAACGAUGAGUGCUAAGUGUUAGGGGGUUUCCGCCCCCUUAGUGCUGCAGCUAACGCAUUAAGCACUCCGCCUGGGGAGUACGGCCGCAAGGCUG
rnacentral:rRNA from 1 species